AAGCAGGGGAGCGGAUGUGGCAGGGUUGGAAGAGGGUGUCACGGAUACAGCAUGGUGUGGGUCUGAGGCAGUGAAUUACCUAAGCAGGACCUCUUGGCCUCUGUCCAAUCGGACAGCCCCAGGUCUAAGGUGAAGUCUAAAAGGUCCUAUGAGGUGAAUUUGUACCAAAUUGGGAGAGAAAUUUCUGGGCUCUACUCUGCAGCCAGGAGCCAUGGCUUGUCCAGGAGCCUUUGACAGAAGGUGCCUGGGGAGACUCGGGGUCGACCACUAGGAUUUUGGAUUCAAAGCUACAGAAGGUCUGAAGCCAACUACAUCCCAACAGAGAAGGAAAUCUUAGCUGCCUAUGAAGGGGUCCAAGCUGCCUCAGAGGUGAUUGGUACAGAAGCACAACUCCUCCUGGCACACCAACUACAGGUGCUGGGGUGAAUGUUCAAAGGCAAGGUUCCUUCCACUCACCAUGCCACCAGUGCUACAUGGAGCAAGUGAAUUGGUCGUAUCACACAGCGCGCCUGUAUUGGUAAAGUGAAUCACCCUGGGAUUUUGGAGGUAAUUACAAACUGGCCCGAAGGUGAAAAUUUUGGUGUCACAGAUGAAGAACAAGAACUAGUGACGUGGUGUUAUGGUUUGACUCAGGCGCAAUGUCAGUGCCUCUAUGAAAAUGCACUUUCUUUAGUGGCUUCUGUGACAUGUGAUCAAGAACAGAGCAAAGCAGGCUCUAACUUGUGAAUGGAGGGAAAACACAACACUUUAUUAAUCUAUAACAUAAAGACAAGAGGAGGAAAAAAGGAAAAAACUUUCACACAACAAUCCACAAUGGAAAACUUCCAAAACACUCCUCCUCUCCUCACCUCUUUAACACUCAAUUCUCAGUCCAAUACCAUCCUCCACACAACCUCCUCCCAGUUCAUCAGCAGAGAGGAGUCUUCCUCUUGUACCAUGAGCCUCCCCAGGAAACACAGUUGGAGCCUCCUGUGCUUCUGUCAUACGUGGCAGCCGCCCAGAGAUAAUCUGCCGUGGUUAUUAUUUUCCUUCUGUCUUGUGCUCUCAUUGUUGUCCAUGGAUCUAAAAUGCUUCUGAAGUCUUUUUAAGAAUGCCUUGCCCAGUUCUAAGAAGUGGCAGCUUUUCACUAUUUGGGACACUUGUCCUCUCUAUAUUUCACCUCUUGGGGCUGAAGGGCCUUGUGAACAGAGAUCUUUCUCGGUUGAAAUUAGAGGGCCCCACCACACCCUCCCCAUCAGUCUCUGUUCUUUCUACUUCUUCUCAUAACAGCUUUGUCACUCUUGGCUUCUGGCCAACCGCCUCCCCCAAGAUGCAGUCUCUACAUUACAGGAAGAAAUUGGUUCUGUCUCGUGGCCAUGUAAAAGGGAAGUCUAGCCAAAAAGCUGAUGCAAUCAUCUUUUUUUAUCUAGGGCGCUUCUCAUCUGCUGGCAUUUCUUUACCCACUCAAACUUUCUUCUCAUUUGCUUAUCUUCCGUCUCUUCUCAAUUCUCAGCUGGAGAAGAUCAGUGUUUUUUUACAGCUUCCAUUGUCUUAGCACCAAAGAGGUUAAAACCUCAGCUGCGGUCUGCCAGUGGCUGGGCACCUUGCCCCUCCCCCACUUCUUCUCUUGGCCAUAGUGCUAGCACAAGAUAUCAAAUGUCAAGCCAGCACAGACUCUCUAUCACUCCCUCCUGGAGGGGGGCUGCCCGAAAUAUCUCAAAUCUCUUCUACCCCUGCACUUGGCAGGGGCUCUGGCCUCCCUUUCCACAGGCUGCAUGGCCUCCCCCUCCCCCACCCAGACGCAGCUGGGCAGGGGAGGAGGUCAGAUCAACUCACUGACCAGACUCAAAAGAGAGUGUCCCUCUGGAAAUCUUCUGCUUUUAAUCCUUGUGUGUUCUCAGAGGCGUAUCUAGGUCCCCAGUAGCUACAACAAUUGCUAAUUUUCAAAUCUGGCCACUGAUUGGUUUGACCACAACUUUCUCAGAAACUCACUUCCUGGUCAAACCAUGACACACAGGCUGAAGAAGCUCCACCAUAUAACCAACUGCCCGCAGAGGAAACGCGCUAUGCUCUUUUCACUGAUGGUUCCUGUCACAUUGUAGGGAUGAAAUGGAAGUGGAAAGCAGCCGCAUGGAGCCUCACACAACAGGUCACAGAGGCCACUGAAGGAGAAGGUGGAUCAAGACAACUUGCAGAACUCAAAGCCAUUCAGCUGGCCCUGGACAUAGCAGAAAGAGAGAAGUGGCCAAAGCUCUACCUCUACACUGAUUCAUGGAUGGUAGCCAAUCCUCUGUGGGGAUGGCUGGAGAGGUGGAAAGAGGCUAAUUGGCAGCGUAUAAGAAAACCAAUUAGGGCUGCUGAAGAGUGGAAAGACAUUGCUACCAGGGUAGGUGUCAUUGUCGAGGAGGUCACGACACAAAGCAGAGACCACAAGCAGUCUCAGAUGGCAACACUUUAUUAUUGAACAUGGCUGACCUUUUAUACACUUUUUAAUUGUUUUUGCUUCUUCUACCCUAACUAUUGGAUACAAUAAAUCAGCAUAACACCAUUGGUGAAAAGUUACAGUGACUUAACUAACUUUCUAAAUAUACUUCAUGCAGCUGUGAAGUUCUUAUCUUUCUUCAGUCCCUCAAUUCUCUUGGUCUCCUUGGUUACAGCCUUGGAGAGAGCUCCUUAUCAGCUUCUUCUUUCUUCUCAGCUUCUUCUUGCUCCUUUAGCUAACAGGCCCGCUGUUAGCCCCUUCUACAGGUAGGGAGGCUACCUGUGAAAGUCCACUACGUAGAUUCCCAUGUCCCCAAGAGUAGAGCUAAUGAGGAGCACCAAAACAAUGAGCAGGUAGACCAGUCUGCACAGAUAGGGGUGUCAAAGAUAGACCUAGAUUGGGAACAAAAGGGACACUUAUUCCUAGCUUGAUGGGCCCAUCAUGCCUCAGGUCAUCAGGGUAGAGAUGCCACCUAUAAGUGGGCAUGAGACUGAGAGGUGCAUUUAACCAUGGACAGUAUUUCUCAGGUUAUCCACAACUGUGAGACGUGUGCUGCCAUCAAACAGGCCAAGCAAGUGAAGCCCCUAUGGUAUGGUGGGCGGUGGUCCAAGUGCAAGUAUGGAGAGGCCUGGCAGAUUGACUACAUCACACUGCCCCAGACACGCCAAGGCAAGCACUAUGUGCUCACAAUGGUAGAAGCCACCACAAGAUGGUUGGAACCCUACCCGGUCUCUCAUGCUACUGCCCGUAACACCAUCCUGGGCCUUGAAAAGUAGGUCCUUUGGAGGCAUGGUACCCCGAAAGGAUUGAGUCAGAAAACAGGACUCAUUUCAAGAACAGCCUUAUCAACACCUGGGCUAGGGAACAUGGCAUUGAGAAGGUGUACCAUAUCCCCUACCAUGCACCAGCUGCAGGCAAAGUAGGGAGGUACAAUGGACUGUUAAAAACCCAGUUGAAAGCCUUGGGUGGGGGAUCUUUCAAAAAUUGGGAGCAGCAUUUAGCAAAGGCCAUCUGGUUAGUUAACACCUGAGGUUCCACCAACCGAGCAGGUCCUGCCCAGUCUGAGUCCCUGAAUAUAGUAGACAAAGUCCCAGUGGUACAUGUCAGAGGUUUGUUGGGGUAGACAGUGUGGAUCAAUUCUGCCUCGAGUACAGACAAACCCAUUUGUGGGGUUGUCUUUCAUCAGGGACCAGGUUGCACAUGGUGGAUAAUGCAGAGAGAUGGAACAACACGAUGUGUACCUCAGGGAGAUCUGAUUGUGAAGUGAGACUCAUAUGCAAAUAUCACUGUUUCCUGGAUGUUACUGCCAUUGUCUGUACAUUAAACCACACAGACAUGAGAUAGAAGGAAAUGUGUAAGUGUCGAAGGUCUGAGCAAGUGAAAGAUGGAGUUUUGAGUGAGUAAAUAAAAGUGGGGAAACCUGCAGCUCUGUAGUAUGGGGCCUGGAUUCAGUGGUCCAGUGUGUGGAUAUGACAGGGGCAUGAUGGAUAUUGCUUGUAUUUUUUUGGGUGGAACAGAUGGAAGUUUUUACGUGAAUAAAAUGCAUGAUGUUUGGUAGUAUGUUGAUGAUAUGGGGAUAAGGGGUGGAAUGUCCUAGCGUGACAUUAUGAUGCUUGUAUCCCCAUUCAUCUGUUCUGUUUAUGCUGGAUAUUAGGUUCUGUGCCUUCAAGACUGGCUCUGAAGAGUGAAGUUUUGUUUUGCUUUGUUUUGUUUUCAACCUGCUCCCCCACAGCUGGCAGGAAACAGAGAUGGUUCAGUACAUAGUGCAGCUUUUGCUUUUUGCUUUGCUUUUUCUUUGCUCUUCCUCCUGCUUUGCUCCUGCUUUGCUCUUGCUUUUGCUCCUGUUUGUUAGUUACUUUAGCUAGGCAGUCCAAAUUUUCCCUGGACUGCUUUUUCUUUCCCUUUCUUGGAACCACUCGAGCCUGCUCUGGACUGGGACCUGGGAAACACCAAGAGUUUGCACCUUGUGGCCUGCAGCAGCUAUUCCCAGUGCAGGAGGGACCAAUAACAGAGCGACCUCUCCCAGGAGAGACUUUCUGAAUUUGUCAUCUUUUGCCAGAGCAGUGAAAGACUGUUGUCAUCCAGUAUUGUUCAUUUUUUGUGCUGGGGGGUGCUGUGCCUGUUAAAUAAACAGGUUCUUUCCACUUCUUUCUGAGGAAUCCUUCCCAAACUGGUUGGGGGGAGGGGCUGUGUGGGUUUGCUUUCCGGAGGCACCCCCUUUUGGAGGUUUUCUCCCAAAUUUGCCCUAAACCAGGACGCUCAGCAGGCAGGGGGUGCAGGGCUACAGUGCAGUGAAAACUUGGAACAGUGCCAAAGAAGCAGCGGGUGUGGGGCAGCAGCUGCCCACUUCCCAGCAGGGCAGGGAGAGGUGAGCUCAGGAUCCUGGGCACCCAAGCACAUGGUAAUAAGUCUCUCUUUUAGUGAGGUAGUUGUUAAUAAGGUUCCAGUUCAGUGGCUGCUCUCACAAGCAGAGGCCCACCUCACAGCAGAAGAAGCAGCUCCAGGCUGGGCUCCGGCAGCAGCCAGUGAAUUCCUUUCCCCAAACAGCACCUCUGACUGUCCUCCUCCGAAGUCGAGAGAGAGAGCUAGCAGCUGCCCCAGCCCCGUCUUUUACCUGCCCAAUUCUUGUGGUAUCUCUACCCCUCUGAGAGAAACUCCCAGAUAAGAGAACUGCAACCAGAUGCCCUCCUCCCCUGAACUUGGCCACUUCUUUUGUUUUUCUGAAGUACCCAGGUGUUAGUGUUUCCUAGCAACUCAUGGAAAAAAAUUCUACAAGUAAAUAAGAACAAAAGGAAAGAAACCUAACUCCCAAAACUCUUAUAACAGGAGAUUUCGUGUCUUGUCAUUUACUUUUAUAAAUAGGAGCAGUAAAACUUAGCUUAGCAGUAGCCUAUGUAACUUAAAGAUACCUCAACUAUUAGACCUUUAGCUGUGACUGCCCAGAAAUUAAAGCUCUAUCAAACAUCUCAAAAGUAUGUCACUUUACCCUUGCUAUUGACAGGCAUUUUUUAAUAUUGUUGCCUUAUUUAUAAAGUAAAUUAAUAUUAAUUUUCAAAGCACCUGUGAGCAAUGUUAUUGCAGCAUCAUAUUGAUUUUUCUGUGUGUAUUAGUUGUGAGGUCUGUAUUCUUUUGUACUGAGAAGAUCAGCUCUAUGAAACACAUGAUAUUGGCUUUCCAAGGACCUAAAACUACACAAUAUUUAUUGUUUUGUUGGCUUUUCCUUAAACCACUUCUCUGAAUCCAGUUAUAUGAUGUGGUUGCAAGCUGUCUAAUAGUGUGUUCAUGCAGCAAUAACAGCAAUUUCAGAGUUUAUCAUAAUCAUUUGACAUUGCCUGUACCAUAAGCUGCGGUAUAUUUUUACUCUACCUUUGUCUGUAUUUGCAGUCACACCACACUUUAAAGCAGAGUUACUCCCAUAUACUUUUGGCUGUAGCACAAAGCAGAAGUAUGAUGUAGAACAGUAAUUCAGAUUAUACAGUUCAUCUGCAACUUAGUGCUAAAUUAAUAGUGGUGAUUGAAUAACUUUUAUGUCCAUUAUUUCUUAUUUUCUAGCCUAUAUUUUUAUUCCUUGCAGUAUGCAUAUGGGACACUGGCAAAUUUCCAAGCCAAGGAAAAAUAGUGUAAUUUUAAAAUCUAGAUGUAAUUGUCCCCUUUCUCAAUAUUUGUGUCUACAGUUUACCACUGUAUUGUGAUUUAUCUAAAUAAUUCCAUGCUGUAACUUACUACAGGGUUUUCACAUUUGUUUCCCAUGUGAUAUGACAGCUUUGCCUUGAAAACUUGUGCAUGAUUGUGAAAAAUUACUCUCCUUAAUCUGUUUUAUAUUUAGGUGAAAUCUUAGAUUCCUGUAAUAGUUUAGUUUAUAGAAAAGGAGUUUUCACAUGAACAUGUAUUUUAUUUGCACACAAAAAGUAGUCAUGCUGAACAAAGCAGUUUAUAUCAGUUCAAAAUUGCCAUCUUCAAUGUGGAAAGUAAAUGCAAUUUUUUUCAACAUACUGCUAUAAAAAAUUCCUAAAUUUUAAUUUUCCAUAAGUCACUAGAUGUCAAAAUUUCACAUAGUUUUCCACUUUCCUAUUAAAAUUGUGGCAAUGUGGUUGUGGUGGGCUGACCCUAACUAGAUGCCAGGUGGCCGCCAAAGCCCCUCUAUCACCCCCCUCCACAGCUGGACAGGGGAGAAAAAAUAUAAUGAAAGGCUCCUGGGUCAAGGUGGUCAAGGUAAGGACAGAGACAGGUCAAUCACCAAUUACCAUCAUGGGCAAAACAGACACACCCUGAGGAAAUUAGUUUAAUUUAUUAUCAAUCAGAGUAGGGUAAUGAGAAAUAAAACCAAAUCUUAAAAUCACCUCCCCCCCAUCCCUCCCUUCUUCCCGGGCUCAGCUUCAUUCACAAUUUCCUCUGCCUCCUCCCCCCCGAGCAGCACAGGGGGACAUGAAAUGGGGGUUGUAGUCAGUUCAUCACACAUCUCUGCUGCUCUUUCCUCCUCAAGGGGAGGACUUCUGACACUCUUCCCCUGCUCCAGUGAGGGGCUCCUCCCAAGGGAGACAGUCCUCCAUGAACUUCUCCAAUGCAAGUCCUUCCCACAGGCUACAGUUCUUCAUGAACUGCUCCAGCAUGGGUCCCUUCCACAGGGUGCAAUCCUUCAGGUACAAACUGCUCCAGCGUGGGUCCCCCAUGGGGUCACAAGUCCUGUCAGCAAACCUGCUUCAGCCUGGGCUCCUCUCCACGUGUCUGCAGGUCCCUGCCAGCAGCUUGCUCCAGCAUGGGCUUCCCACAGGGUCCCAGCUUCCCUUGGGUGCAUCCACUUGCUCUGGCAUGAAGUCCUCCACAAGCUGCAGUAGAAACACCCUGCCACCCCUGUAGUCCCCCCACUACCAAAACCUUGUCACAAAAACCCUACUACUGUAAUGUACAGACUAAUGCAUAAAACUUCUCAACCUCUGUAAUGUGAAAUUUUUCAGUGAGAUGGCUGGAGCACCAAAUGCAGAAAGGUUAAAUAUAUUUGCACGAAACUUAGGGAAAUUAUGACAGUUCUGCAUUGAGAUCCAUAGCUCAGAAAACCUCUAGUAGUUGUUCUGGUCCUUGAGAAAUCACUAAAGAAAAAACAUUUAAACAUAUGCAAUGAAAGAAAAUUUAUUCAUAUUUUUCAUUUGUGUCUGGACUUCAUUGUGGUGGCUAUGUUGUUUUGUUUCUAAUCUUUUAUCUUAAGCAGUUCAUCAGGGUUUUAAGGCUUUUUCCAUCUUUAGAAACAUUUUUUCUUUGUUCAGAUUAAAGUUGUUUCAGUAUAGUAUAACUAAUCCAGUGAGAUAAAAAUGUUGGAAUGCACAAUGUUUGCUGGACAAAUGAUUAUCUGAGGACUGAAAAAUCUUUUUGAGUGGAAACAAGAAAUAAAAUACUCAAU